rnacentral:rRNA from 1 species
AGUGAACGCUGGCGGUAGGCCUAACACAUGCAAGUCGAACGGCAGCACAGUAAGAUCUUGCUCUUACUGGUUGCGAGUGGCGGACGGGUGAGUUAUACAUCGGAAUCUACUUUUUCUUUUGGGAUAACGUAGGGUAACUUACUCUCAUACCGCAUACGACCUACGGGUGAAAGCAGUGGAUCUUCGUACCUUGCGCGUUUUUAUGAGCCGAUGUCGGAUUAGCUAGUUGGCGGGGUAAAGGCCCACCAAGUCGACGAUCCGUAGCUGGUCUGAGAGGAUGAUCAGACAAACUGGAACUGAGAAACGGACCAGACUCCUACGGGAGGCAGCAGUGGGGAAUAUUGGACAAUGGGCGCAAGCCUGAUCCAGCAAUACCGAGUGGGUGAAGAAGGCCUUAGGGUUGUAAAGCACUUUUGUUGGGAAAGAAAAGCAGCAGGUUAAUACAACGAUGUAAUGACGGUACCCAAAGAAUAAGCACCGGCUAACUUCGUG